GGAGUUAGCCGGUGCUUCUUCUGUGAGUGAUGUCCUUCCUGCCGGUUAUUGACCCGCAGGCCUUCUUCCUCACUGAAAGUGCUUUACAACCCGAAGGCCUUCUUCACACACGCGGCAUGGCUGGAUCAGGGUUGCCCCCAUUGUCCAAUAUUCCCCACUGCUGCCUCCCGUAGGAGUCUGGGCCGUGUCUCAGUCCCAGUGUGGCUGAUCAUCCUCUCAGACCAGCUACGGAUCGUCGCCUUGGUGAGCAGUUACCUCACCAACCAGCUAAUCCGACAUAGGCUCAUCCGAUAGCGCGAGGCCCGAAGGUCCCCCGCUUUCCCCCGUAGGGCGUAUGCGGUAUUAGCCUGGGUUUCCCCAGGUUAUCCCCCACUACCGGGCAGAUUCCUAUGCAUUACUCACCCGUCCGCCGCUCGCCACCAGGGAGCAAGCUCCCCGUGCUGCCGCUCGACUUGCAUGUGUUAGGCCUGCCGCCAGCGUUCAAUCUGAGCCAUGAUCAAACUCUGA
rnacentral:rRNA from 1 species